ACGGUGCCUCUCGCACUCUGUUCCAAUUUCCUGGAGAAAUUUGCCGGUGCUUUCAUCAGAUUUCUCUGCCAUUUAGCUUUGCUUUGCUUAUACUCCACAAGUUCUCCAGUUUAAGGUGCGCGGGAAUCUAAGAGGUUUUUUUAUUUUCUUUCUUUCGAUGAGUUUUUCCAUGGAAAAGGUUGAAAAGACGGUGUUUUGUUUCAGGGAAAUCUGUAGGGCAAUGGCGACUAUGGUGGAGCCUCCGAAUGGGAUCAAGCCUCAAGGGAAGCAUUGUUUCCGGCUGUGGCAGACAUUGUUUGAGAUCGACACCAAAUAUGUUCCGAUCAAACCCGUCGGCAAAGGAGCCUAUGGGAUCGUCUGCUCUUCCUUUAACUAAGAAUCAAAUGAGAUAGUUGCCAUUAAGAAGAUAAAAAAUGUGUUUGAGAGUCAGAUUAGUGCACUGAGGAUGUUGAGGGAGAUGAUCCUGUUGAGGCACAUCAAGCACGAAAACGUAAUUGCUUGGAAGGAUGUUAUGAUGCCGACCCACAGGAAAAGCUUCAAGGAUGUUUAUCUUGUUUAUGAACUCAUGGAUACCGAUCUGCAUCGCGUCCUUAGGUCCCCUCAACCUCUUUCCCGUGACCACUGCCAGUUUUUUCUUUGUCAGUAAUAUAGAGGACAUGGCUCGGGACUCUGGUAGCGUGGAUAUUGAAGAAGAUGUUUUGCAUGAACUGCAGAUGGAACUACAACAACUCUGUUCAACUGAUGAAUUGGUUUAUCAACCCUUGUAUGAAAUGACACAGUUGGGCUGGUGAUAAGGCUUUGAAAGAGCUCCAAGAAGCUAGUAUUUCACAACAAUAUUUCCUGAUUUUGCAAGAAUGUGUAAAAAAGGUAUUCCACCAUGCAAUUUUGUGGGUUAGAUCCUUUCAGUAUGUUCUAUUACCAAGUCAGCUUUUUUAAUAGGCAAUUAGAGAUGCUUCAGAUACAGAGUUGUUCUUACCUCUUUUAAGUGGCCUGUCAGUGACAACAUUGGAAGGGUUUUUCUUAAGCGAAAUAGACAAAAUAAACUACAGCACUAGCCAUCUUCGCCCAACCCAAACAUCAUCAUCUCAAGAGAAAGAGCAAAAUCCAAUGAAUUCGAUCAGGGAACAAAUGAAAAGUGAUCACGGGAAAGAGGUUGAGGGGACCUAAGGACGCGAUGCAGAUCGGUAUCCAUGAGUUCAUAAACAAGAUAAACAUCCUUGAAGCUUUUCCGGUGGGUCGGCAUCAUAAC